rnacentral:tRNA from 1 species
CCUGGGGGCUCAGAUGGUAAAGCGUCUGCCUGCAGUGCAGGAGACCUGGGUUCGAUUCCUGGGUCAGGA